rnacentral:rRNA from 1 species
UGGGGAAUAUUGCGCAAUGGGGGGAACCCUGACGCAGCCAUGCCGCGUGAAUGAAGAAGGCCUUCGGGUUGUAAAGUUCUUUCGGUAUUGAGGAAGGUUGAUGUGUUAAUAGCACAUCAAAUUGACGUUAAAUACAGAAGAAGCACCGGCUAACUCCGUGCCAGCAGCCGCGGUAAUACGGAGGGUGCGGGCGUUAAUCGGAAUAACUGGGCGUAAAGGGCACGCAGGCGGUUAUUUAAGUGAGGUGUGAAAGCCCCGGGCUUAACCUGGGAAUUGCAUUUCAGACUGGGUAACUAGAGUACUUUAGGGAGGGGUAGAAUUCCACGUGUAGCGGUGAAAUGCGUAGAGAUGUGGAGGAAUACCGAAGGCGAAGGCAGCCCCUUGGGAAUGUACUGACGCUCAUGUGCGAAAGCGUGGGGAGCAAACAGGAUUAGAUACCCUGGUAGUCCACGCUGUAAACGCUGUCGAUUUGGGGGUUGGGGUUUAACUCUGGCGCCCGUAGCUAACGUGAUAAAUCGACCGCCUGGGGAGUACGGCCGCAAGGUUA